UCAAUUAAUUGCAAAGGAGAAAGAACAAAACUCACAAUGGAAGAGUAAGCCCCAACUUGACAAGUGCGUUUUGGGUCUGUCAGUAAGGGAGGCAACGGAGAUAGCGACUUAACCGUGAGGUCUUGUUAUGGUAAAUAUCAGCUUGAUGCGGAAACGGUUCGGAUAACGAGUAAGCGAAAUGACACUAAAUCGGUUCAUGAAAAUCUAACAUACCGUGUAUCGCAACUUACC